CUUCGGGACGCUGGAAAGCAGUGCUUUCGGAUGUCAGAGUGUUCCCAUUUAGCUGGCUGUGGGAAAGGAAGUCACCUGGAGUAAUAUCACUUGCAGAUCUGAGAAACAUAACGCAGAAGUUUGUUUCCUGACUGGUGUUGUGAAAGCUAUUGGGUACGAGCUAUUAGAAGGAAUUCCUUAGUAAAAAAGGUCACAUGGUGUGCUUCCCCAGACCUCUGCUGGACUCUCGGCCAACAGCUGACACCAACUGCCAUCACAGGAGUGAGGUGUGAUGAACAUUCAGCCCAAAUGAGCCUGCAGAUUGAAACCCGAUCCACUAUUUUGCUGCAACUGCAUGACAUCCCCAAAUGAGAACCAUCCAGCUGAGCCCAUUCAACCUACAGAACUGUGGGAGAUAAUAAUAAAAUAUGUUUUAAGUCA